AAGGAUUUAAGUUAAAUUAAACUAUUAACCUUCAAAGUUAAAAAUAAAGUAAUAUCUUUAAGCCUU
rnacentral:tRNA from 1 species